AGGGCCCAAGUUGGGGACCUCUGAUCUAGAGAAUGCUGUGGAUGCAGGCGUGGCUCAGGACACAGAGGUGAGCCUGGACUCUAAGAAGAGAAGAUGCGUGCUUUUGAAUGGCCUUUGUUUUUCACCUGCAUUUGCUUCAAAGUUAUUGAAACUAAAGCCUCAUCUUGGACAGCUCAGAUGGCAUCUUCAGUCAAAGGUCUUCCAGGGUCAUGCGUGGUGAUCCCCUGCUCAUA